GGACCAAAUGGCAUCUAUUAUUUGUUCUUUCUCUGGUGUUUUCCUUUCCAGAUCGUGCCUCAGUUCCCUCAUGUGUCAAAUGGUUCUAAAAAUACCUACAUGGCAGGUUGUUGGGAGGCUUAAAUCGACCUAUGUUUGAAGCGCGGUAGAACGGGGGUCAGGGAUGUGGCGUCUGUUGAAGGAGUCUGGGCCAUUACUGUUCAUGUUGUCCAUUUUUUUUUCGUACUGGCAUUCUGUUUUGUCUGUUAGGAUUUCUCAGCUGCCUCCUGGCUUCGGGGUCCUUGGUACAAACUAAGCCGGGAAACUGAUGGAUGGACUUUGAAGGAGAGAGAAUCUCAUUGGCCUGGCUGAGGUCAGGUGUUUAUUCUGGACCCAUCAUUUGUGACCGGGAGCGAGGUCACCAUGUGGCAAGAGUGGGGAGGUUCCUUUCAGGGAGUCCGUGGCGAUAAAUUUCCAAAUCUAACGCUAUCCAUCCGGUCCUGCCCGUGAACAGCCUGGCAGGUGACACACAGCCUUUCAGCUGAGGAUGGCCAUUGGCUUGACCAUUUCCCAAAGGCAACGCAGCCUCGUUUGGUGGUGUUUCUUUUUACUUUCCUCUGUAAUGUUGUAAAAACCUUGCCUAUUGAGAAAAUGCAUGCCGAUGACGGAUUAAACAGUGCUCAUUAGUACAAUACAGAUUUAAUCUUUCAUACAAUUCCAGUUUUAUUUUCCUGUGGAAUGCAUAUCAGCAAAUUCUAUGACAUACAGACGUCAGUCUCCAAAGAUACAUUUUUCCAUCUUCUGGACACUGAAAUUCUGCAGAUUGGGAGAGACUAAACACCAGUCUGACCAGACCCUCUGUCUCCCCUAUAUUAAAAUAAUUUCUGGUCUGGACUGUUUCACUGAAGAACCCCCAGGUCAGUUUCUACGUGCCUCGCCCCCUUGGCGGGUCAAACUCCUCAAGGGUGGAGCUUAUGAGCGCCUGCCGGGAAGGCGUGGCCUGGCCGCUGGGUGGAGCUUGUGA
rnacentral:lncRNA from 1 species